rnacentral:rRNA from 1 species
GCAGAACGCGAAGAACCUUACCAGCCCUUGACAUCCCGGUCGCGGGAUCGAGAGAUCGAUCCUUUCAGUUCGGCUGGACCGGUGACAGGUGCUGCAUGGCUGUCGUCAGCUCGUGUCGUGAGAUGUUGGGUUAAGUCCCGCAACGAGCGCAACCCUCGCCCUUAGUUGCCAUCAUUCAGUUGGGCACUCUAAGGGGACUGCCGGUGAUAGCCGAGAGGAGGUGGGAUGACGUCAAGUCCUCAUCGGCCCGUUACGGGCGUGGGCUACACACGUGCUACAAUGGUGGUGACAGUGGCAGCGAGACCGCGAGGUCGAGCUAAUCUACCAAAAGCCAUCUCAGUUCGGAUUGCACUCUGCAACUCGAGUGCAUGAAGUUGGAAUCGCUAGUAAUCGUGGAUCAGCAUGCCACGGUGAAUA